GCAUGUCUUUCCAUGCGUUACAAAGUUGGUGCAGUCUUCCUCUUCGCUAUCCUCUAGCACAGCAGCUAAGUAUUGUUCAUUGCCAUGAAUGAACCCUCCGCCACGGAAGUUGAGUUUCAUGUCUUCAGAUCUUGCAAUUGAUGAACCUUUCUGGAACCCCAAACCGGUUCUGCCCUUGUUGUCGAAGACCUCUACCAUGUGCCCCCACUGAUC
rnacentral:lncRNA from 1 species